AGCCAUGGUUAAUUACUUUAGAUGCUACUCAACCAGUCAUACCGGCUACUAGAGACUUAUUUAUUACACUGUCCAGAAUACUCUUCGGUUCCUUUGAGGGGGAAAGAAGGAAGCUGACUUGUUUGUGUUCACAUUCUCACUAGCUAGAACUGUGUGUAGCACAAAGUAGAUAAUUAUUUGAUUUGUGUUGAUGACUUUUCUCCUCUAAAGUUAUGUAAAGUUGAGGAUAUUUUACCCUAGAGCAAAUUGGUUCUGUUUUAUUCAUAGUUGAUUCAAAGGUGAUUGUCAUAUUUUGUUGUUUUGUUUUAUGUUUAGAUCGCUUUCACAACAAAGAUUUACCAUCCAAACAUAAACAGUAAUGGAAGUAUUUGUCUCGAUAUUCUGAGGUCACAAUGGUCACCAGCUCUGACUGUAUCAAAAGUUUUAUUGUCCAUAUGUUCUCUACUUUGUGAUCCUAAUCCAGAUGACCCCUUAGUACCAGAUAUUGCACAAAUCUAUAAAUCAGACAAAGAAAAAUACAACAGACAUGCAAGAGAAUGGACUCAGAAAUAUGCAAUGUAAAAAUCAAAAACAUUUUCAUAUAUACCAGAGUACUGUAAAAUCUAGGUUUUUUUCAACAUUAGCAGUAAAUUGAGCACUGUUUACUGUUUCAUUGUACCAUGAAACCAUUUGAUUUUUACCCAUUUUAAAUGUGUUUCUGAAGCAAGACAAAACAAACUUCCAAAAAUACCCUUAAGACUGUGAUGAGAGCAUUUAUCAUUUUGUAUGCAUUGAGAAAGACAUUUAUUAUGGUUUUUAAGAUACUUGGACAUCUGCAUCUUCAGCUUACAAGAUCUACA
rnacentral:sRNA from 1 species